rnacentral:pre_miRNA from 1 species
AUUGUACUCCCUCCGUCCCUAAAUUCUUGUCUUAGAUUUGCCUAGAUACGGAUGUAUCUAAUACUAAAACGUGACUUGAUACAUCCGUAUUUAGACAAAUCUAAGACAAGAAUUUUGGGACGGAGGGAGUAUUAA